UGAAACCUCUCUGUAGUUCCAGGAACCUGCAAGCCCAUUCAACAGAUGCAACGGAGCAGAAGGAAGCCAUAGUUAUUGAUUAGGGAAUCCUGUGCAGAGCAGCUGGGCAGCACUGACUGCUGUCCAAUACUGAGAGCAGAAACUUUCAUCUGAUUUCUCCUCUUCUGGAUGUCCAGCAUCAAGAACAGUUUUGGCCCACAGAAGGCCCUCCAGGAC